GUUACGGUGGUCUAGCGGUUAGAACGCUGGCCUUGUAAUCCUGGGGUCUCGGGUUCGAUUCCCGGCGGUGCCC
rfam:Zootermopsis nevadensis contig19093, whole genome shotgun sequence.